AGUGAACGCUGGCGGUAGGCCUAACACAUGCAAGUCGAACGGCAGCACAGGAGAGCUUGCUCUCUGGGUGGCGAGUGGCGGACGGGUGAGGAAUACAUCGGAAUCUACUUUUUCGUGGGGGAUAACGUAGGGAAACUUAGGCUAAUACCGCAUACGACCUACGGGUGAAAGCAGGGGACCUUCGGGCCUUGCGCGAUUGAAUGAGCCGAUGUCGGAUGAGCUAGUUGGCGGGGUAAAGGCCCACCAAGGCGACGAUCCGUAGCUGGUCUGAGGGGAUGAUCAGCCACACUGGAACUGAGACACGGUCCAGACUCCUACGGGAGGCAGCAGUGGGGAAUAUUGGACAAUGGGCGCAAGCCUGAUCCAGCCAUACCGCGUGGGUGAAGAAGGCCUUCGGGUUGUAAAGCCCUUUUGUUGGGAAAGAAAUCCAGCCGGCUAAUACCUGGUUGGGAUGACGGUACCCAAAGAAUAAGCACCGGCUAACUUCGUGCCAGCCGCCGCAGUAA
rnacentral:rRNA from 1 species